rnacentral:lncRNA from 1 species
CCAUAUCCGCUGAUUCAAGAAGCCGUUUCAGCCGCCCGUGAUUCUCCCCACCUUCCGCAUGCGUUCCCCUCUUCCGGAUUCGAGAGCCCCUGCAUCGCGUCCCCUCCUAGCUCAGCCUCCUUCGCAUGAUCCGCUCGUCCGCGUCACUGCCAGCAGCCCAAGUUCCCAUCCGUACUCAUCUUCCACGGAUCAAGCCUCCACAUCCAAGCAAUCCCACAAAUCAAGCUCCCGAGUCCGCCUCCUUUGAAGCCAGUGAUGCAUCCCACGCUUCAAGCCUCCGCGUCUGCAAGCACCAUGAUCCAAGCACCCAGCGGCUCAUCCGAGAUUGGCUCCUCCUUCCGUUUCCAAAUCCCAGCCCCCAAGCAAUCGGAUCCCCAUCGAUCAAGCAUCUGUUACCCCUCCAUCAAAGGAUUCGUCGCUGUCCAUCAGGGGGUGGGCGACCUAUUUAAGGAGAGGAAGAGGGAAGGAGAAGGGGGGACUCGGUGGAGAAGAAAACAGGGGAGACCCCCUGUUUCGGUGAAAAAGGAGAAACCAGCCGAGAGAGAAGAAGAGAAAAAGAAAUAAAAAAAAGAAAGAGAAAGGAGGGGGGACUUGAGGCGGAUGGCGUGGAGUAUCUUAGCAAGCCGAUCAAAGUCGCCAAGCAUCAUGAGCAGCUAAACCUCGGUUUAGGGGUUUGAUGAAGCCAUAGAGGAGUAUUCGUUUCAUUUUUGUUGAUUUGAGUUUGUAUUGUAAGAUGGUUGCAUGAUGAAGAAUUUAUCAAUUGAUCUUAUGAUUUAUCCAAUUUAUGUGAAUCAUUUAUCUUGCAUAAAAUAUUUUACAUAGAUUGAUCUAUUUCAUCGAAUCCAACACCUGUGGUUUGGAGGAGAUAUUCAUGUGACAUCGAUUUCAUGUUUAAUGAUUUAAUGAUCAGAUGCAUCAUGCUAG